CCCUUAGAUGUUCUGGGCUGCACACGUGCUACACUGGCAGGUUCAGCGAGCUUCAUGCCCUGAUCUGAAAGGAAUGGGAAAUCUUUUCAAAACCUGCCGUGCUUGGGAUAGAUGUUUGCAAUUAUUCAUCUUCAACGAGGAUUGCCUUGUAAGCGCACGUCAUCAGCGUGCAUUGAAUACGACCCUGUAUUCUGUACACACCGCCCGUCGCUCCUACCGAUUGAAGUUUUCGGUGAGUUGACAGGAGGAUUUUUUUGAAACUGGUUCGCCAGUGGAUUUUAGAUCCAAAUGCCAACGAAGCGAUGGCUUUAGAGGAAGGAGAAGCCGUAACA
rnacentral:rRNA from 1 species